rnacentral:misc_RNA from 1 species
GAAAUGCGAUAAGUAAUGUGAAUUGCAGAAUUCAGUGAACCAUCGAAUCUUUGAACGCACAUUGCGCCCGCCAGCACUCUGGCGGGCAUGCCUGUCCGAGCGUCAUUUCAACCCUCGAGCCCCCCAGGGGGCCCGGUGUUGGGGGGCGCGGCCCGCCACAGGGCCGCCCCCCCCUAAAUGCAGUGGCGACCACCGCCGCGGCCUCCCCUGCGAAGUAGCACAGCGACGCACUGGAGCGCGGUGGCGGCCACGCCGUAAAACCCCCGAGAACCCCCCCCGUGGAGUUGACCUCGGAUCAGGUAGGAUUACCCGCUGAACUUAA